AGAUGAUGAGAGAAGGGGGAAAUGAUCUACAAACUUCAAAUCCAGUUUACAGAUGCAAAACCUGAAGCCCAGAGAGGAGAGAAGGCUUGCCCAAGUGCCUGCUAUGAAGAAAAAGACUUUACGAUGUCCCUUUCAGACAGAGGUUCCAGAGUGUCUGGAGACAUCUUUGGUUUUCACAUCUGAGAUUGCUACUGGCAUCUAGUGAGAAGAAAUGAAGGUUGCUGCAAGACAUCUAUCAACGUACGGGACACCCUAAAUGUCACUAAUGCCAAA